rnacentral:rRNA from 1 species
AGCGCAGGCGGACCGGCAAGUUGGAAGUGAAAACUAUGGGCUCAACCCAUAAAUUGCUUUCAAAACUGCUGGCCUUGAGUAGUGCAGAGGUAGGUGGAAUUCCCGGUGUAGCGGUGGAAUGCGUAGAUAUCGGGAGGAACAUCGGUGGCGAAGGCGGGUAACUGGACUGCAACUGACGCUGAGGCGCGAAAGUGUGGGAGCAAACA